GGCUGGGCUGGGCUGGGCAGGGCAGCCCACCACUGUCUCACGUGCUCCUGCUGCUGCUGCUUCUCUGACC
rnacentral:miRNA from 1 species